UUGGAAUUUGGAGAUACUUAAUCUCAGUCAUUCACGGUGCCUAGAAAAAUCACCAGACUUUUCACAACUCCCAAAUCUACAGUAUUUGAUCCUUAAAUACUGUGUGAUUUUGCCAGAGAUUGACAGUUCCAUUGGACAUCUUUCUCGACUUGUCUUGCUAAAUCUUAAAGGCUGCAUUAACCUCAAGGACCUUCCGGAGGAUUUUUAUAAGUUGCGUUCUGUUAGGACUCUUGUUCUUUCUGGCUGUUCGAGAUUUGAGAAAUUGAGCAAGCAUAUAGGAAAAAUGGAUUAUUUGAAAACUCUUGUUAUAAGUGGCACAGCCAUAAGUGAAGUACCAUCCUCGAUAGAUGGAUUGCAAUACCUGGACUUUUCAUCUCGACAAGGCCUGAGUGGACUAAAACGAUUUUCCCAGGAUGAGACAUCAGGACCUAGCCAGGAUUGAGGGAACUUGUAAGCUUCUUAAAUUUUAAGGAAUGGACAAGCUGGUGUUUGGUAAAGUCACCAAACGCAAUUUUAUUUAGAUAAGUAGGGGUUUACAACCAAAGCAAGGGCAAAGCCCUGUUCUCAGAAACAAAAAUGAAAGCCGACAUGAACUCUCUCUCCCCCCUUCUCCCAUCUCCCUUCUCUUUUACCAGCAACUAUGGUCUCCGACCAUCGGUUAUUGUCACCGGUCAGCCCAUCUGCCGCAGGAACCAACGAUCUACAAACUAUACGAGCGCGUUGGAUCUCCCUCUACUCGACCAGCUAGGAUCGACAGUUCUGGAUGUCGUCGUCGAUUGGUUUCAAUUUUUUCAACCUUAGGGUUUCGAAUUUGGGGCUUGUGCAGCAACCUAUCAAAUUUGUUUCCCUCGUUACAAAAUUGGAGUUUAUCUUGACACGCAUACAGACUCCAUGACGAGUUCAGUCACUGUGAUUUGAAUUUAGAUUUGAACAGCGUAUGAUGUGAGUUUGAGUGAUGAGAGCUGACCUCAAGAUCUCUUUGAUUUCGUCAGCGGCAAAUGCUUUCAAGUCAUGGGAAAGGCUUGAUGUAGGUGGCAUUAUAUCCCACUCUUUUGAAUUGGAGGCCAAGACGAAAGGACUAUUUAGCCGUGCAACAGCUGUUAUUACAUUCGCUUUCUCUCAAAGGCUGCUCUGCAGGAGAGUGUUGAUGCUUUUAUCAACUCUGUUGUGAAAAACAUAGGAUUCAGCUAGGGAAAGCACGUUGCCUGUUUGAUCAGAAUAUGGAAGGACCAGUCACAUAUACAAUUGUUAUACUUUCGAUGAGAAUACUCCACUUGUUGAUGAUCCAUAGUACAUCUCUACAUUGGGUGAAACAAUAUUCAAGGGACUGCAAAGCGGAGAUAAGGAUGGGGUCUGGCUAAAGCAGGAGAGAGAUAUUUUUGCAGUUCAGUGAUGGACCAAGAGAGAUGAUAUAUUGUUCUUAUUUCAGAUGAAAGAAGAGUGAAAGGAGUCUCCUGUAGAGUUGUUUACAAUAAUUUGUAUUUACAUAUUUAAAUAU